UGAUAUCCAUACUUCUAGCCGUUUCACUCCGAAUCUCAAUGAAGACAUCAGUCAUUCAUCAUCGCGAACCCUAAUCGCAUCAACAAUCAUCGAGCAUGAGCAUAUUCUGGUGUAAGUUAUUGAUUCUUGGUAUAAAACAUCUCAUCAACUUCAUCAUUCGUCCACCAGGUGAUUGUUUACAUUAUCUCCCCUUUGAAUUUCGCUCAUCCUCCUCUUCAUCGUUUCUGAAGUGUUAAUUUGUUGAGUUUUGCCCUUUCGUUGAUCAUCUAUCCUAUCUACUGAUGGCGCUUUGUUUUCACAUUACUUUCCUAAUAAUGUUAUGUUCCCCUCUAUGUUUUCUCGAUUUAGGGUUUCCAUUUGAAAUUGAUGUUAAUAUUUUACUUCAUUUAUGCUAUAAUGAUCUUUAUGCGAUUGAUGGUCGAUCCAUAAAUUACAUUUUCGCUAGGGUUUUGCAAGAACUGUGUGUCUCUUUGAGUCUUCAUUUGUUUUAGGGUUUUCCACUUUCCAUUUCAUAUGUUGUGCGUGUUAAGACUGUUUUCUGUGUGACUGAUGAUUGAUUUGUUAAUUAAGUUUUGGACUGAGUUACUUACUGAACAAGUUUGCCAUGGUUUUGCAAUCAUUUGUUUUAGGGUUUACCACUUUUCAUCUGCAGCUGGUAUUGAUUAUGUAUAUGCUGUGUGUGUUAACACUGUUGUUUAUGUGACUAAUGAUUGAUUUGUUAAUUAAUAUUGAUUAUGUAUAUGCAUUUGCACGGCGUCUAUGUACAACAAAAUAAGCAUUAUUUACGACCAGAAAAGGCAUAUCUUUCAUAUGUUUUACACAUAACCUAUUUAUCAAGUAAAUCUUUCAAUUCGGUUAUAUAAGAGGUACUUUUGUUGGGUUUAUUAACGUUUUUGUUGAGAAUUGGACAAUGGUAGUUUUCUAUUUAUUAUGUAUGUGUUGUGGCCAUUUUGUGUUAAAUGACUUAGUUGAAACCACCAUAUGGCUUGAAGAAGCUCCAGUUAUAACAAUUUUCAAUAUUUAUUUUUGUUUCUAAGGUUGCACUUGACUCGAGCAAGCCUAGCCCGUCGGCAUCUGAUUAUGAUAGCGGAAGUCAAAUAACAACUGCCAGCCCUUCUAAUAUGACUAUAUGGAUCAGUUUCCUGCUAUGAAAAUUCAAUCCAGAUAUGUAGCAAAACCACCAAGAGCUGGUGGUAGGUGGUGUGGCGGUGGUGUCACCGAAAGGGUGGUGUGAGUUGCCGGCGUUGCAAGAUGGUGUCAAAGGGGAAGGUAGAAGUUGUAUUGCAGAGUUGUGGCGGAGGUGCUCCUUUGGCAACCGGAGUUGCAGGUGGCAGAGGUGCUCCUUUGGCAGCGGGAGUUGCAGUUGGCAGCCGGAGUUGGAGUUGGCAACGAGAGUUGCAGAUAGUGGAAUUGGAAGGUGUUGCCCUAAUGCAAUUGUCAACUUGAUUAGCAAUCCUGUGAAUUCUACGGUUCCAAUCGCUGCAGAAGUUUUCAAGAAAGCUGGUACUUAUGAACUGUUGCUUGAUUUCUACAGAGUUUUUAGCGAUGUUCAUGUUUGGAUGUGACGAAAUACUUAUAUAGAAGAAAAAAAGGUUGCAAAUGAGCUGCAAAGGUAAAUUAUAUAAGAACUAGGUUUUUAAGCGGUUAUUAUAAUGUAUUUAUCUUAUUUCGACUUACUACGGUUUUUAAAGGAGAACAGGUCAAUAAAUAGGUUUUAACUAUAAAAGGAACCGGUUGAGUCAGUUUUAAAUCAAGACAACCAUUUUUGUUGUGUAAACAUGUGGUCUAAGCGUUAUAAACCUCAUUUUUUUAGUAGUUCUAUGGGGGUAUGCAAGACUUUGUUGGUGUAGUUGUAUUAUGUACAAAACCCAUUCUUACCUGAACCAAAUUGACCAUUAAAAAAAAGUCGUUUUGACCUAUACUGAUUUUGUCAAAAACCAUCCAUGCCCAUUGUUGCCUGACCUGCCCACCCGUCUUGCCAGGUAUAGUUUUAACGCGUUUGUGACAUGGCUUCAUAUAUAAUUUCAUCAUUUUAGCCGUUUAGGCAUGGUUUCAUAUAUGAUUUCAUCACUUGAGAUAUGUAAAGAGUGACUCUGUAAUUAGAAAUAACAUGAUGACUACUCCUCGCACAAUUUGAAGACUGCAAUCGUUUGCGCAAUUUUUUAGUCUCAAUCACAGUGUAAAGAGCAGAGUGUAAAGAAAGAACAUACAGAAGUGGAAUGAGCAAGUCAUUAUGUCUCUCUAAAUUACUUGCUCUUUACGUCCGCAUGUAGCGCCCGGUAUGUAGUUUUCGUAUAGAAUUUUUUAGGUAUAUACGU